GAGUACGUAGCUCAGUGGUAGAGCGCAUGCUUAGCUUGCACAAGGUCCUGGGUUCCAUUCCCAGCAUCUCCA
rnacentral:tRNA from 1 species